rnacentral:rRNA from 1 species
UGGGGAAUUUUGCGCAAUGGGCGAAAGCCUGACGCAGCAACGCCGCGUGAGUGAUGAAGGCUUUCGGGUCGUAAAGCUCUGUCAAGGGGAAGGAAGUGUAUUGUGGUUAAUACCCAUGAUGCUUGACGGUACCCCUAAAGGAAGCACCGGCUAACUCCGUGCCAGCAGCCGCGGUAAUACGGGGGGUGCAAGCGUUGUUCGGAAUUAUUGGGCGUAAAGCGCGUGUAGGCGGUUUGUUAAGUCUGAUGUGAAAGCCCCGGGCUCAACCUGGGAAGUGCAUUGGAAACUGGCAGACUUGAAUACGGGAGAGGGUAGUGGAAUUCCUGGUGUAGGAGUGAAAUCCGUAGAUAUCAGGAGGAACACCGGUGGUGUAGACGGCUUACUGGACGGCCACUGACGCUGAGACACGAAAGCGUGGGUAGCAAACA